rnacentral:misc_RNA from 1 species
GAUGAAGAACGUAGCGAAAUGCGAUAAGUAAUGUGAAUUGCAGAAUUCAGUGAAUCAUCGAGUCUUUGAACGCACAUUGCGCCCCCUGGAAUUCCGGGGGGCAUGCCUGUCCGUGCGUCAUUGCUGCCCUCAAGCACGGCUUGUGUGUUGGGCCCCCGUCCCCGGUUUCCCCCGGGGACGGGCCCGAAAGGCAGCGGCGGCACCGCGUCCGGUCCUCGAGCGUAUGGGGCUUUGUCACCCGCUCUGUAGGCCCGGCCGGCGCCAGCCGACACCCAACUUUAUUUCUAAGGUUGACCUCGGAUCAGGUAGGGAUACCCGCUGAACUUAAGCAUAUCAAUAAGCGGAGGA